CGAGGUGGUGGAGGCCAACGGCCGGCUCACCGACUCGGGCUCGGUCGACCUCGCGACCUCGCGCCGGAUGGGCCUGUUCGUGGUCGGCCGCCUCGCC
rnacentral:tRNA from 1 species